rnacentral:lncRNA from 1 species
GAAGGAGAAGGAAGCCCUAAAAUAGGGCUCCUCCUUCUUCUUCGGGAUGGAGGAUCCAUCCCGUUGCCUCACGUGCGUUGCACGUGAGGUCAAGUAUUGGGACUGGGCCGGUCAAGUGGACCGGGCCCAGUUCCAGGGUCUCACAUUUCCCCCUCCUAAAAAAAAAUUUCGUCCCCGAAAUUUGCGUACCUGCAGUUUCAAAAAGUUGAGGGUAUUUCUGUUUCAUCUCAUCUUCCAGUUCCCAGGUAGCUUCUCUUUCUGAAUGAUGGCUCCACUGCACCUUGACAUAAGGUAUAACACGGUGUCUCAAAACUUGAUCUUUUCUGUCCACUAUCCGCACUGGAUGCUCCUUAUAUGAUAGAUCUUCUCUAACUUGUAUAGGCUCAAGCUCCGUGACAUUACUUGGGUCUGGUAUAUAUUUCUUCAACGUCGAGACAUGGAAAACAUCGUGUACACCAGCCAGAGAAGGCGGCAGGGCAAGUCUGUAAGCCACCUUACCAAUUCUUUCUAAGAUCUCGAACGGACCAACAAAUCUGGGAUUCAAUUUUCCUCGAAUGCCGAAUCUUGCAACUCCCUUUGUAGGUGAUAUUUUAAGAAAUAAA